GACGAACGCUGGCGGCGUGCCUAAUACAUGCAAGUCGUACGCUUCUUUUUCCACCGGAGCUUGCUCCACCGGAAAAAGAAGAGUGGCGAACGGGUGAGUAACACGUGGGUAACCUGCCCAUCAGAAGGGGAUAACACUUGGAAACAGGUGCUAAUACCGUAUAACAAUCGAAACCGCAUGGUUUUGAUUUGAAAGGCGCUUUCGGGUGUCGCUGAUGGAUGGACCCGCGGUGCAUUAGCUAGUUGGUGAGGUAACGGCUCACCAAGGCCACGAUGCAUAGCCGACCUGAGAGGGUGAUCGGCCACAUUGGGACUGAGACACGGCCCAAACUCCUACGGGAGGCAGCAGUAGGGAAUCUUCGGCAAUGGACGAAAGUCUGACCGAGCAACGCCGCGUGAGUGAAGAAGGUUUUCGGAUCGUAAAACUCUGUUGUUAGAGAAGAACAAGGAUGAGAGUAACUGUUCAUCCCUUGACGGUAUCUAACCAGAAAGCCACGGCUAACUACGUGCCAGCAGCCGCGGUAAUACGUAGGUGGCAAGCGUUGUCCGGAUUUAUUGGGCGUAAAGCGAGCGCAGGCGGUUUCUUAAGUCUGAUGUGAAAGCCCCCGGCUCAACCGGGGAGGGUCAUUGGAAACUGGGAGACUUGAGUGCAGAAGAGGAGAGUGGAAUUCCAUGUGUAGCGGUGAAAUGCGUAGAUAUAUGGAGGAACACCAGUGGCGAAGGCGGCUCUCUGGUCUGUAACUGACGCUGAGGCUCGAAAGCGUGGGGAGCAAACAGGAUUAGAUACCCUGGUAGUCCACGCCGUAAACGAUGAGUGCUAAGUGUUGGAGGGUUUCCGCCCUUCAGUGCUGCAGCUAACGCAUUAAGCACUCCGCCUGGGGAGUACGACCGCAAGGUUGAAACUCAAAGGAAUUGACGGGGGCCCGCACAAGCGGUGGAGCAUGUGGUUUAAUUCGAAGCAACGCGAAGAACCUUACCAGGUCUUGACAUCCUUUGACCACUCUAGAGAUAGAGCUUCCCCUUCGGGGGCAAAGUGACAGGUGGUGCAUGGUUGUCGUCAGCUCGUGUCGUGAGAUGUUGGGUUAAGUCCCGCAACGAGCGCAACCCUUAUUGUUAGUUGCCAUCAUUYAGUUGGGCACUCUAGCAAGACUGCCGGUGACAAACCGGAGGAAGGUGGGGAUGACGUCAAAUCAUCAUGCCCCUUAUGACCUGGGCUACACACGUGCUACAAUGGGAAGUACAACGAGUCGCGAAGUCGCGAGGCUAAGCUAAUCUCUUAAAGCUUCUCUCAGUUCGGAUUGUAGGCUGCAACUCGCCUACAUGAAGCCGGAAUCGCUAGUAAUCGCGGAUCAGCACGC
rnacentral:rRNA from 1 species